rnacentral:rRNA from 1 species
UAGGGAAUCUUCGGCAAUGGGGGGAACCCUUGACCGAGCAACGCCGCGUGAGUGAAGAAGGUUUUCGGAUCGUAAAGCUCUGUUGUUAAGGAAGAACGAGUGUGAGAAUGGAAAGUUCACACUGUGACGGUAUCUUACCAGAAAGGGACGGCUAACUACGUGCCAGCAGCCGCGGUAAUACGUAGGUCCCGAGCGUUGUCCGGAUUUAUUGGGCGUAAAGCGAGCGCAGGCGGUUAGAUAAGUCUGAAGUUAAAGGCUGUGGCUUAACCAUAGUACGCUUUGGAAACUGUUUAACUUGAGUGCAAGAGGGGAGAGUGGAAUUCCAUGUGUAGCGGUGAAAUGCGUAGAUAUAUGGAGGAACACCGGUGGCGAAAGCGGCUCUCUGGCUUGUAACUGACGCUGAGGCUCGAAAGCGUGGGGAGCAAACAGGAUUAGAUACCCUGGUAGUCCACGCCGUAAACGAUGAGUGCUAGGUGUUAGACCCUUUCCGGGGUUUAGUGCCGCAGCUAACGCAUUAAGCACUCCGCCUGGGGAGUACGACCGCAAGGUGG